GGGUGUUGUAAAUGGGUAACCAUU
rnacentral:siRNA from 1 species